AGUAGAAACAAGGGUAUUUUUCUUUACUAGUCUACCCUGCUUUUGCU
rnacentral:misc_RNA from 2 species